rnacentral:lncRNA from 1 species
CUCACAAUACUUAUUUUCUAGAUCCGGCUGUGGUAUAUAACAGGUUUAUUUUCUAGAAUGAGAACAGAUGUUGAUCAAAUUAAUUUCCUUUUUCAUUUUCACAAAUUUUGAAGGUAUGCACUUUCACGAGGCCACUUUUAAUUUUUUUUAAAUACAUGAAUACAAUUUUUUCUUUUCUUUGAAAGCUAUUAUGCAAAUCCUUAAUAAUCUAUUGCGAUUGAAUAUGAAAAAAGAGUUGAGAAAUGAAGUGGCAAAACAGAACAAUUUUUUUUUUACUUUUCCCCAUGCUCGUGAAUUCUCUGAUGAAAAUAAACUCAUGCGUAUAGUAAGUUUAAAAACAAAUCACAAAAUUGCUCACAGUUUAGCAACUGAAUACUCCAAGAAAGAAACAUAAAAAACCAUAUAUAUGAAAGGUGACACAGAUACUAGAGAAAAAGUUGAAGAUCAUCAGGAAUAAAAACUUUGAAAGUGAGAAAAUUAAAAUGAACAGACCUUAUCAGUAGCAGAAGCAUGAUGAGAUGCAGCAGCCUCUGUAGCCAUGAUGGGAAAUUGAAGCUGAUGGCCCUGAGAGUGUUUAGAGAAGUUCAGGUGGAGAAAGAAAUAAAGAAAGUAAGUGGUGAGAGGAAUAAUUUGGUUGGCAACAACUCCAGGAAAAGAAGGAAAGCCAGUUCAACUUUAGGAAGAAGAACAACUAGUUUUGCACAGAAAAAAGCAGAAACAUAGAUGUUUGACAGACUGUAUCACAUGAGCUGGUAUGGUGGUCUCAAUGAUUUAGGAGGAUUAGGAUUAAGGUGGCACUAAAGUUUUCCCAUUAAAAACAAAAAAGUAUAAAAUAAAAAAAGUUGAUCACAUAGCUGUGAGCUGUGGCAAAGUAACUAGCUUUAUUGGGGACCAGAUCAGCGGCAACAAACUCAUACAUUUAACUCUCAAAAUGUUUGGGCCCUCUCCUCAAUCCUUGUGGUUAAUAAGAUUCCUCUACGUCAUUAACCUUAAUUAAAUUUCAUCUACAAAUUAUGGAAACCAUAAAUGAACACUCUCAUGUAUCUUAAGGAUCCACCACUAGUUAUAAUAUCCUGCAAUUUGUUUCUUUUAAAUUAAUAAACUUCCUUUUUUGUCAGUUUUGUUGAAGCAGUUUCUCUUAUUCAUUCAUAAUUGUAUACAAACAAACAAUGAUCAAGAGAAUUAUAAUAUACAAAUAUAAAUAGUUGUCACAUUGAAAUAUCAUGAUAUUUGCUAAAUAAUUAUGUUCACUUUGGUCAUGAUUAUUAUUUGGAUACCCUUCUACUUUGUUUUUAUUAAGGAAAACUAUCAUACUAAUUCGCUUAAAAAUGAUGAAAUAGAUAAGCUCAUGAUUUGAGGUCGUGUUUUCUUCCACGUUAGGAUAAUAAAUUUGCUUAAGUUUUCAAACUUGGAUUAAGACGUACCAUUUCCAUGAAAAUGAUGCUGCCUCAUGUCACUUUAUUGGUGUUCGCAUGUUAUGCAUUAUAGGGUAUACCCCCCUAUUCCCCCUCUUUUCAUUCGAACUUCUCUCCAUCCUUUUCAAUUUUUUUAUUAAUAUUAAAUAAUUUUCAUGAACUUUAUACGAAUCAUACUUUCCGAAGGGCAAUGUGAAUUAAUUGUUGCAUCCAAUAAAUCCAGAUUGACCAAACAUCCCCCAAAAAUUGAUGAUUAAGAAUAUAAAAAUAGAAGAAAAAAAAGAGCAUAACAAAUACAUUAUCACAAGGUUAGAAAAUACUAACAAAUACACAAGGUUUCACAGUAUGUAAAUAAAAAAAAGUAGUUAAAAAAAGUUACAUUAUCACAGAUGAAUUAAUGCUUCGUACUUUUAUAAUAUGAUUAUCAGAAAAAAGCAUUUAAAAAUAUAUUUAUACUACAGAUUUGGUUUUGGAUUGAACAAUGAAAUACUUUUCUUGCUUGAGAAGUGUUUUGAUGAAACUGAAAACCUUAAGAUACUUUCCAUUUUGUUAGUUUAACAUUAAUUAUAAUGGUUUUAGCCAACAAAUCCAACCUUUUUCCAUGAUAUGUUUUUGGUUCUUUCAGCCUUAAUAUCCUAAUAAUCUUUUGAAUCUCUAAAGGAAAAUGAGUGUUCUGAGGUGACAAGUAUCAUGAGUCAUUAGUCAUGACAGCUGCCACAGCCCUCUUUUUAAAGAUAGAAGACUAGUGUGCAAGAGAUUUGUUGAAAAAAUUAUGACUUCUCAAUUCCACAAAAAUGCAAAGAAGCCCACCUUCUUUAUCUAUUGAGCUGGUUCUCCUUCACAUGUCCCCCCAUCUUUGGAAUCUUCCAUUUGUGAAUUCGCGCAGUGUAAGACCCAAGGUGGUCCUUCAACACUUAAGCCUGUGAUUUUCUUGAAUUAAUUACAACAGAGAAAAUAAAUCUUGCUUAUGAAGAUGAUGCUGUUUUUUCUCUGUCCAGGUUAACUAUAGCGGACAUUAUGGGCAGGAACAUUCAUGCUUGAAAGGUAUUGAUUAGGUGGAAAUUUAUAGAGACCCAACUUGACCAUUGGUUGUCUCCAAAAGAAAAAACGACUCCUCCACACAGAAAAGGAAAUUAACAAUUCGUUUAAAGUAGACAAGAUUUUUGUUUGUCCUUUCAUUCGAGUUUAUAAUGUUUUUUCGUUUCUGAUAUUUUCGGCAUCUAGAAGUCACAUUCGAUAAAAAUAUUGUUAAUGGAUUUCAUCUAAGAAAUAAUUAAGGUAGACUCGUUUAUGAUUAUAUCUUUCAUUCACAAGGGAUUCGUAUCUAUAUAUGAAAGGCUUUGUUAUAGUUAAGGAAAACUUUAAAGUUGCCUAGUACUUGAACUAUAACAUGUGUUGGCUUUAAUUUUAUGUGUACUUCAUAAGUUUGGUGUUUGUUACUAAAACUAAAGCUUUUUACACAACCAAAUAAUUAAACUUUUCUCCUUUUUCCAUGGAGAAUGCCAACGAUACAUUUUCUUUCCCUUUUCCUUUUGGACUCGCUUGAGUUGCUUCUAAAUAUGCCUAUGAGUAUGAGUGGCUUGUGUCAAUCCCUCGCAGAUUUCAGUUCGGUGAAGUUGACAGAUAUUGGUGGAGCAGAAGUUACGAAAACGAUGUUACAGAAGUAGGUUAGGGCAUGGAUGAGAGAUGAAGGUGUGUUGCAGUAAAGUGUUUGACAGGAGUGGUGGUGGAGAUUGGUGAAGUGAAGAUGUGCAACCAAAUGGGGUCACUCUUACUUAAGGUUCAUUAAUCCACAGCUUUGUAAGGCAGCUGAAGAAGUAGAUCUUGCUUUAAUGUGCAUCAGCAUGUUAGUUAAAUUGAGAAACCCAUGUUAGUGGUAGUGCAUGAGAUUGGUAAGUUUUGGUGGUCUUGUUUUCAUCUAUAAAUGAAAGAGGAAAAAAAUAUUUUGGUUUUCUUUGUUAGAUUUUGAAAAUUUGUUUAUUAUAGGUUGCAGCUUGCAUGCAUGUGAGUGAGGGUGCUUAGAGAGAGGAAUGAUUCAGUUUGCCACACCUGCACCUUUGUCUUCUUGCGCAGCCUAUUACAAUUCUGCAUGAUGUCAGCUACAGCGCCUAACAGGCUGCAUUAAAUCAUAUUCUUGCUCCAACUCCAAACACAAACCACAUCUUUUGUAUAUCAUGAUCCAAGUUGAGAUAUUAUAGAAAUAAAUAUAUGUCUUUUGCCAUUCGUUUUAAUUUAUUUCUUUUUUCUUUAGAAAGUUUUAUAUGAUGGGGAGCUUUUAGUUUGGGCCCAUGUGGUUAUUUCUUCAGUUUAAAUCAUAUAUAAAUUGUCAAGAUCAUGUUACGUAUUUGCUUUUAUUUUCAGACAAAUAUAUAGUAC